rnacentral:lncRNA from 1 species
AUAUUGUUGAGGAAUUGCACUUACUAUCUUACGAAUUUCUUGUUUUUUCUUUCUUUCUUAAAAAGAUUCUUAAGUUUUUGUGUGAAUCUGGGCCCAGAUGUUUAAAUCGAUGAGAAAAUUUGUAGAAUGUCGGCCCAGUUUCACCUCGUUCCAUCCUCUCCCAUUACCCCGCAACUGGACUCCAUUCAGCCCUAAACUCAGUGUAGAGCCUCGAGUAAAUUUGUUGAAGACGAAUGUUUUGAAUGGACAACAGUAAUAUCAAAAACUGGAACAAAAACAAAAUUGUCUAAAAUUGGAGUGGAGGACACGUGUGUAAAUGACAAUGAAUCGUUUCUUGUUGGGAUGCGUUUGUUGAGUAAGGAUGCGCAUGUGGGAAAAACGUUUAUGGUGUAGAAAAUGGUGACGUCUGGGCUUGGAAAAGUAGAGUCUGUCAGAGUGACCAGGAGUGGUCUUAUUUUCAUUAAUUGUAUUUCUGAAGAACAGAGGAAUAUUGCAGUUGGUCUCAAAAGAAUCCGGACGAUAGAAGUUUUGUGUUUUGAACUUCGGAGUAGAGCACCUGUCAAAGGAGUCAUCUCAGGGUGACGAAGGAUGUUCAGGUUGAAUCCCUGAAGAGAAUUCCUUGUGUGGUUGGUGCCUGGCCUCUGAUCCGCUGGGUGAAUGGAGGAAAUUAAGAAAGUCCGUUGGUCUUGGUUAUGUAAGAUAUGCCAUAAAAGCUUUGUCCCCAAACCACUGCAGUGUAAGAAUUGUAAAGGAUUUGCCCAUGUUUCAAGUGUGUGCAGAUUUUUUUAUUUAAAUGUAACCUUUAUUUAAGUAGGCAAGUCAGUUAAGAACAAAUUCUUAUUUACAAUGACGGCCUUUCCCAGCCAAAUCAGGAUGCCAAACCCACCGCCCUAUGGGACUCCCAAUCACAACCGGAUGUGACACAGCCUGGAUUCAAACCAGAGACUGUAGUGGACACCUCUUGAACUGAGAUGCAGUGCCUUAGACCGCUGUGCCACUUGGGAGCCCAAUGAACAGAGUACACUGAAGAACAGUGUGUAGAAGGACGACAGUGUUGUAAUUAUGGUGGGGAUCAUGAUCCUGAGUUCCUGGAGUGCCCUGUAAGGGUGAAGGAAAUUGAGUUGGCAAAAGUUAGAGCAGUCAAUCAAAUCUCCUAUACGGGGUGAUCAAAAUAAUUGAGAAAACAAAUGAUGCUAGUAAAGAAAUGGAGGUGGUUUUUGUUGCGUUCAUUGCCACAGUCUUUACAACUUCUUGAUCAAACAUCAUUUUGUCAGAGAAAGAAAAUCAUGAGCUUCCGAAAUUGGUAACACUGAAGUCAAAGUUCGGUAGGAAGGGCCAGCAAGCUAAAAUGAGUGAAUCGUUUGAGCAGAGUUGAGUAGCUAUGCCAGACCUUCUCAACUCUGCUCGAACACUUGCAGCAUUAUAGCUAGCUAGUCUAUGGUAGUCUCGGUUAAUGAUAUUAGAUAUGUUUUUCUUUGAUCGUUGUGUUUGGUUUGGAUAUGUGUACUAAAUAGCCCUCUACUUUUCUUUAUUUUACAAAACACAAACACCAUCGAAUGGAGACACCAGUUUUUUUUUUCUGUCACCCAGCACUGCCUGUUCACCAACCCACAGCACUUACUGGUCAUCAUCCAUCUCCUACACUGAGCUGCAGUACAGAAUGGAAAACCAUCUCCAUGCAGGCCCUGGGAAGCCCUAUCCUGGGCCCAUCUCCAAGACCUACUCCACUUGCUUGCUCCUCAGUGAUGCCACAGAGCAGCAGCAGUAGUAGCAGGGGUGUGAGAAAGGGAGGAAAGAGCUGCAGACUCAGCCCUUGACACAUCACUGGCAAAGACAUUGCAAACGAUUGAAGACAGAUCUCAAAAAUCUGGAGAACGUCAUGCACUGAGCCAGCAGCUUGUCCCAGAGACACUCCUCUAACCCCCUCCGCCCCGGCAUCUGUAGCUGAUUUCAUACAUAAACUAUCGCCAAAACUCUGGGAGGAAUUCUAUCACCAGUUGCACGAUUUCAUUCAUGACUUCAAGAAGAGGACAAGGACCAAACGACUGGGACUAUAGUGAAAUUAACAAAUUGUUCUAUUGUUCAGACAUCUCAGGAGUCACACUAGAC